AUCAGAUGUGGUGGCCUCAUCUGUGAUCCCUUCUGUUUGGAGACAGGAGUGGUAGUGGAUCACCUGAGCUUAGGAGUUCUGAGCUGCCUUUAGACUAAAGCCAAUCAUGUAUCAACACUAAGUCUGACAUCAACAUUGUGAGCCCUAGGAGCAAAGGUCCACUAGCCUGUCUUAGAAGGAGUGAAAACACCCAGGUUGGAAAGAGAGCAGGUCAAAGCUUUCGUGCUGAUUAUCAGUGGGGCUGGACUAUGAGUAGCCACUCUUCAGCCUGGAGAGAUGGGGAAAGA
rnacentral:SRP_RNA from 1 species